rnacentral:rRNA from 1 species
UACGUAGGGGGCGAGCGUUGUCCGGAAUUAUUGGGCGUAAAGAGCGUGUAGGCGGCUUGAUAAGUCGGCUGUGAAAGUCAAGGGCUCAACCCUUGAAUGCCGGCGGAUACUGCCGGGCUAGAGUCCGGAAGAGGCGAGUGGAAUUCCUGGUGUAGCGGUGAAAUGCGCAGAUAUCAGGAGGAACACCAAUGGCGAAGGCAGCUCGCUGGGACGGUACUGACGCUGAGACGCGAAAGCGUGGGGAGCAAACAGG